AGGACGAACGCUGGCGGCGUGCUUAACACAUGCAAGUCGAGCGGAAAGGCCUUUCGGGGUACUCGAGCGGCGAACGGGUGAGUAACACGUGAGUAAUCUGCCCAUCGCUUCAGGAUAGCCGAAUCGGAAACGGUGAUUAAUACUGGAUAUGACAUUCCUUCGCUAGUGUUAGGGGUGUUGGAAAGUUUUUUCGGCGGUGGAUGGUGCUCGCGGCCUAUCUAGCGUUGGUUGGUGGGGUAAUGGCCUACCAAGGCGUUUGACGGGUA
rnacentral:rRNA from 1 species